rnacentral:rRNA from 1 species
CUAAGAAUAUUCCGCAAUGGACGAAAGUCUGACGGAGCGACGCCGCGUGGAUGAUGAAGGCCGAAAGGUUGUAAAAUCCUUUUGUCGGGGAAGAAUAAUCAUGGGAGGGAAUGCCCGUGAGAUGACGUUAACCGGCGAAUAAGCCCCGGCUAACUACGUGCCAGCAGCCGCGGUAACACGUAGGGGGCAAGCGUUGUUCGGAAUUACUGGGCGUAAAGGGCAUGUAGGCGGUUUUAUAAGCCUGACGUGAAAGGCUAUGGCUUAACCAUGGCACUGCGUUGGGAACUGUGAGACUUGAAUCACGGAGGGGGAGCUGGAAUUCCAGGUGUAGGGGUGAAAUCUGUAGAUAUCUGGAAGAACACCAGUGGCGAAGGCGAGCUCCUGGCCGAUGAUUGACGCUGAGGUGCGAAAGUGUGGGGAUCAAACAGG